rnacentral:rRNA from 1 species
AUACGUUGGGGGCAAGCGUUAUCCGGAUUUACUGGGUGUAAAGGGAGCGUAGACGGUUAAGCAAGUCUGCAGUGAAAGCCCGGGGCUCAACCCCGGUACUGCUUUGGAAAAUGUUUGACUUGAGUGCAGGAGAGGUAAGUGGAAUUCCUAGUGUAGCGGUGAACUGCUUAUAUAUUAGGAGGAACACCAGUGGCGAAGGCGACUUACUGGACUGUAACUGACUUUGAGGCUCGAAAGCGUGGGGAUAAAACAGGAUUAGAUACCCUGGUAGUCCACGCCAUAAACGAUGAAUACUAGGUGUCGGGAGACAAAGUCUUUCGGUGCCUCCGCUAACGCAAUAAGUAUUCCACCUGGGGAGUACGUUCUCAAGAAUGAAACUCAAAUGAAUUGGCGGGG